CCUGCGGAGGGAUCAUUACCGAGUUUACAACUCCCAAACCCAAUGUGAACGUUACCAAACUGUUGCCUCGGCGGGAUCUCUGCCCCGGGUGCGUCGCAGCCCCGGACCAAGGCGCCCGCCGGAGGACCAACCAAAACUCUUUUUGUAUACCCCCUCGCGGGUUUUUUAUAAUCUGAGCCUUCUCGGCGCCUCUCGUAGGCGUUUCGAAAAUGAAUCAAAACUUUCAACAACGGAUCUCUUGGUUCUGGCAUCGAUGAAGAACGCAGCGAAAUGCGAUAAGUAAUGUGAAUUGCAGAAUUCAGUGAAUCAUCGAAUCUUUGAACGCACAUUGCGCCCGCCAGUAUUCUGGCGGGCAUGCCUGUCCGAGCGUCAUUUCAACCCUCGAACCCCUCCGGGGGGUCGGCGUUGGGGAUCGGCCCUGCCUCUUGGCGGUGGCCGUCUCCGAAAUACAGUGGCGGUCUCGCCGCAGCCUCUCCUGCGCAGUAGUUUGCACACUCGCAUCGGGAGCGCGGCGCGUCCACAGCCGUUAAACACCCAACUUCUGAAA
rnacentral:rRNA from 1 species